UACGUAGGGGGCGAGCGUUGUCCGGAGUUACUGGGCGUAAAGCGCACGCAGGCGGUCUGGUAAGUUUGGGGUGACAGUUGGUGGCUUAACUGCGAAAGUGCUUCGAAAACUGACAGACUUGAGGGCUUCAGAGGGACACGGAAUUCCGGGUGGAGUGGUGAAAUGCGUAGAUAUUCGCAAGAACACCAGUGGCGAAGGCGGCUCACUGGCCCGAUACUGACGCUGAGGCACGAAAGCGUGGGGAGCAAACAGG
rnacentral:rRNA from 1 species